rnacentral:lncRNA from 1 species
GGACACUAUACAGAUGUAGACUGACAGUUUACUGGUCACCUGCACUAACAGCCUGAGAGAAAAGGACACUGCAUAUCACAGAGAGAUGCAUAGAUGUUACACUCAGAAAGAGAGUGAACAACUAGAAGAUGUGGAAGGCAAGCUUUUUAGUAUUAAGAGGAAAAUUCCAAGGGCCAAUUUUGAAACAAACCAGGCAGAGACCCAGAUGCAGAAUCCUGCAGGCUGAGGGAUGUUAGGAAGAGUUAGCCCACCACUGCUGCGCUGAAACCAGGAUGACGCAAACUGGGCCUCAGGCCAGGCUUAGAAUAUAAACUGACACCUUGAAGAAGUGACCAUCUUGUAAUCAACACUUUAUUCUAAGGAUAACAGAGAUAAAUGAUAUAAGGAUCUCUGUUUCUUAAUGGCAUUGUUGAGCCCUAAACUUUCUACUGCUAGAUAUUUUAUCGCAUGAAAUAAAUAAG